rnacentral:misc_RNA from 1 species
AACGCAUAUUGCGCCCCCUGGCAUUCCGGGGGGCAUGCCUGUCCGAGCGUCAUUUCUGCCCUCAAGCACGGCUUGUGUGUUGGGUGUGGUCCCCCUGGGGACCUGCCCGAAAGGCAGCGGCGACGUCCGUCUGGUCCUCGAGCGUAUGGGGCUUUGUCACUCGCUCGGGAAGGACCUGCGGGGGUUGGUCACCACCAUAUUUUACCACGGUUGACCUCGGAUCAGGUAGGAGUUACCCGCUGAACUUAA